rnacentral:rRNA from 1 species
AACGUACGCUGGCGGCACGCCUAACACAUGCAAGUCGAACGCAGUAGCAAUACUGAGUGGCAAACGGGUGAGUAUAAUGUGGGAAUCUGCCUUUUGGUUUGGAAUAACACGGGGAAACUUGUGCUAAUACCGAAUAAGCCCUUACGGGGAAAGUUUUAAUGCCGAAAGAUGAGCCCGCACUUGAUUAGCUAGUUGGUAAGGUAAAAGCUUACCAAGG